AGCGUACACGGUGGAUGCCCUGGCAGUCAGAGGCGAUGAAGGACGUGCUAAUCUGCGAAAAGCGUCGGUAAGGUGAUAUGAACCGUUACAGCCGGCGAUGUCCGAAUGGGGAAACCCAGUGCAAUUCGUUGCACUAUCGUUAACUGAAUACAUAGGUUAACGAGGCGAACCGGGGGAACUGAAACAUCUAAGUACCCCGAGGAAAAGAAAUCAACCGAGAUUCCCCCAGUAGCGGCGAGCGAACGGGGAGCAGCCCAGAGUCUGAAUCAGCUUGUGUGUUAGUGGAACGGUCUGGAAAGUCCGACGGUACAGGGUGAUAGUCCCGUACACCAAAAUGCACAGGUUGUGAACUCGAAGAGUAGGGCGGGACACGUGGUAUCCUGUCUGAAUAUGGGGGGACCAUCCUCCAAGGCUAAAUACUCCUGACUGACCGAUAGUGAACCAGUACCGUGAGGGAAAGGCGAAAAGAACCCCGGCGAGGGGAGUGAAAAAGAACCUGAAACCGUGUACGUACAAGCAGUGGGAGCACCUUCGGGUGUGACUGCGUACCUUUUGUAUAAUGGGUCAGCGACUUAUAUUCUGUAGCAAGGUUAACCGUAUAGGGGAGCCGCAGGGAAACCGAGUCUUAACUGGGCGUUAAGUUGCAGGGUAUAGACCCGAAACCCGGUGAUCUAGCCAUGGGCAGGUUGAAGGUUGGGUAACACUAACUGGAGGACCGAACCGACUAAUGUUGAAAAAUUAGCGGAUGACUUGUGGCUGGGGGUGAAAGGCCAAUCAAACCGGGAGAUAGCUGGUUCUCCCCGAAAGCUAUUUAGGUAGCGCCUCGUGAAUUCAUCUUCGGGGGUAGAGCACUGUUUCGGCUAGGGGGUCAUCCCGACUUACCAACCCGAUGCAAACUACGAAUACCGAAGAAUGUUAUCACGGGAGACACACGGCGGGUGCUAACGUCCGUCGUGAAGAGGGAAACAACCCAGACCGCCAGCUAAGGUCCCAAAGUCACAGUUAAGUGGGAAACGAUGUGGGAAGGCACAGACAGCCAGGAUGUUGGCUUAGAAGCAGCCAUCAUUUAAAGAAAGCGUAAUAGCUCACUGGUCGAGUCGGCCUGCGCGGAAGAUGUAACGGGGCUAAACUGUGCACCGAAGCUGCGGCAGCGACACUUAGGUGUUGUUGGGUAGGGGAGCGUUCUGUAAGCCUGCGAAGGUGGCCUGUGAGGGUUGCUGGAGGUAUCAGAAGUGCGAAUGCUGACAUAAGUAACGAUAAUGCGGGUGAAAAGCCCGCACGCCGGAAGACCAAGGGUUCCUGUCCAACGUUAAUCGGGGCAGGGUGAGUCGACCCCUAAGGCGAGGCCGAAAGGCGUAGUCGAUGGGAAACAGGUUAAUAUUCCUGUACUUGGUGUUACUGCGAAGGGGGGACGGAGAAGGCUAUGUUAGCCGGGCGACGGUUGUCCCGGUUUAAGCAUGUAGGCGGAGGUUCCAGGUAAAUCCGGUACCUUUUAACGCUGAGGUGUGAUGACGAGGCACUACGGUGCUGAAGUAACAAAUGCCCUGCUUCCAGGAAAAGCCUCUAAGCAUCAGGUAACAUUAAAUCGUACCCCAAACCGACACAGGUGGUCAGGUAGAGAAUACCAAGGCGCUUGAGAGAACUCGGGUGAAGGAACUAGGCAAAAUGGUGCCGUAACUUCGGGAGAAGGCACGCUGAUAUGUAGGUGAAGCCCCUGCGGGUGGAGCUGAAAUCAGUCGAAGAUACCAGCUGGCUGCAACUGUUUAUUAAAAACACAGCACUGUGCAAACACGAAAGUGGACGUAUACGGUGUGACGCCUGCCCGGUGCCGGAAGGUUAAUUGAUGGGGUUAUCCGUAAGGAGAAGCUCUUGAUCGAAGCCCCGGUAAACGGCGGCCGUAACUAUAACGGUCCUAAGGUAGCGAAAUUCCUUGUCGGGUAAGUUCCGACCUGCACGAAUGGCGUAAUGAUGGCCAGGCUGUCUCCACCCGAGACUCAGUGAAAUUGAACUCGCUGUGAAGAUGCAGUGUACCCGCGGCAAGACGGAAAGACCCCGUGAACCUUUACUAUAGCUUGACACUGAACAUUGAGCCUUGAUGUGUAGGAUAGGUGGGAGGCUUUGAAGCGUGGACGCCAGUCUGCGUGGAGCCAACCUUGAAAUACCACCCUUUAAUGUUUGAUGUUCUAACGUUGGCCCCUUAUCGGGGUUGCGGACAGUGUCUGGUGGGUAGUUUGACUGGGGCGGUCUCCUCCCAAAGAGUAACGGAGGAGCACGAAGGUUAGCUAAUCCUGGUCGGACAUCAGGAGGUUAGUGCAAUGGCAUAAGCUAGCUUGACUGCGAGCGUGACGGCGCGAGCAGGUGCGAAAGCAGGUCAUAGUGAUCCGGUGGUUCUGAAUGGAAGGGCCAUCGCUCAACGGAUAAAAGGUACUCCGGGGAUAACAGGCUGAUACCGCCCAAGAGUUCAUAUCGACGGCGGUGUUUGGCACCUCGAUGUCGGCUCAUCACAUCCUGGGGCUGAAGUAGGUCCCAAGGGUAUGGCUGUUCGCCAUUUAAAGUGGUACGCGAGCUGGGUUUAGAACGUCGUGAGACAGUUCGGUCCCUAUCUGCCGUGGGCGCUGGAGAAUUGAGGGGGGCUGCUCCUAGUACGAGAGGACCGGAGUGGACGCAUCACUGGUGUUCGGGUUGUCAUGCCAAUGGCAUUGCCCGGUAGCUAAAUGCGGAAGAGAUAAGUGCUGAAAGCAUCUAAGCACGAAACUUGCCCCGAGAUGAGUUCU
rnacentral:rRNA from 1 species